UACGAAGGGGGCUAGCGUUGCUCGGAAUCACUGGGCGUAAAGGGUGCGUAGGCGGGUCUUUAAGUCAGGGGUGAAAUCCUGGAGCUCAACUCCAGAACUGCCUUUGAUACUGAAGAUCUUGAGUCCGGGAGAGGUGAGUGGAACUGCGAGUGUAGAGGUGAAAUUCGUAGAUAUUCGCAAGAACAACCAGUCGGCGGAAGGCGGAGCUCGACUGGC
rnacentral:rRNA from 1 species